rnacentral:rRNA from 1 species
AUGACAUUCUCUUAUGUCGCUGCUGGAUGGGAGGGUUCUGCAUCGGAUCAAGCUGUUCUAAGAUGGGCUGUGACUAGUGGGGGUUUAGUUGUUCCUGAAGGUAAAUUUUACCUUGUUUUCAGGCUACGCAAAUACUCCAAGAUUUAUUACCCCGUAUCGCGGAGAUCGCUAUCAUAUUGCUUCUUUUCGUGGAAGUAA